rnacentral:rRNA from 1 species
AAGCGUGCGCAGGCGGUCCGCUAAGACAGAUGUGAAAUCCCCGGGCUUAACCUGGGAACUGCAUUUGUGACUGGCGGGCUAGAGUAUGGCAGAGGGGGGUAGAAUUCCACGUGUAGCAGUGAAAUGCGUAGAGAUGUGGAGGAAUACCGAUGGCGAAGGCAGCCCCCUGGACCAAUACUGACGCUCAUGCACGAAAGCGUGGGGAGCAAACAGGAUUAGAUACCCAUGGUAGUCCACGCCCUAAACGAUGUCAACUAGUUGUCGGGUCUUCAUUGACUUGGUAACGUAGCUAACGCGUGAAGUUGACCGCCUGGGGAGUACGGUCGCAAGAUUAAAACUCAAAGGAAUUGACGGGGACCCGCACAAGCGGUGGAUGAUGUGGAUUAAUUCGAUGCAACGCGAAAAACCUUACCUACCCUUGACAUGUAUGGAAUCCUGCUGAGAGGUGGGAGUGCCCGAAAGGGAGCCAUAACACAGGUGCUGCAUGACUGUCGUCAGCUCGUGUCGUGAGAUGUUGGGUUAAGUCCCGCAACGAGCGCAACCCUUGUCCCUAGUUGCUACGCAAGAGCACUCUAGGGAGACUGCCGGUGACAAACCGGAGGAAGGUGGGGAUGACGUCAAGUCCUCAUGGCCCUUAUGGGUAGGGCUUCACACGUCAUACAAUGGUCGGAACAGAGGGUCGCCAACCCGCGAGGGGGAGCCAAUCCCAGAAAACCGAUCGUAGUCCGGAUCGCACUCUGCAACUCGAGUGCGUGAAGCUGGAAUCGCUAGUAAUCGCGGAUCAGCAUGCCGCGGUGAAUACG